GGGAAGUUUGAGUUCCAUGGUGUAACCCUGGACUUUGAAUCCAGCGAUCUGAGUUCAAAUCUCGGUGGAACCU